AUGAAAGAUAUUACCUCACCUACCUUCUCUAUCUUCAAGGCAAUACUCAGGAUUUGGCGACAUUCAGAUCUGGAGGUUUGGUCUGAGCCCAUUUCUAGCUGGAACACAGCUUGCGUCUACAGUAUCAGAAACCACCUCUCAGGGAGGCGGAUCAACUCCAACAAUGGGAGAACCCCUCCCAUUGCUACAGUAAGUGUCUACACUGAAGCUCUACAGCGGUGCAGCAUUUCUAGUGAAGACAUAGCCUGUGGGACUGAGGAGUCUGCAUUUGGAACACCCCACGCACCUCAGCUAAGUGUCUCCGCCAGAUAAGAAACCGCUCAAGACGCAGCAAAGAAGACAUGUUCCAGGAGGUUCUGCAGUGCUCCAAUCCAGAAAAAAAGGGAACGCAAGGAGUGCUGGGAUGCCGAACGACAGAACAGAAAAGAGAAUCAUGCGUUUGUUCAGGCCACAACUGAGUGGAUGAUUAAUGUAAUAGAGGAAAAAUGCAGAUGCUGAAGUCCUUAAUAAUGCUGCAGACUGAGCAGAUCAGUGCUCAACCUCCAGUGCAGCACAUUCAGAACUCUUUUCAUGCCCCUCCCCCCCAACUCCGCCUGCAUAGUCCUUUUUGCUUUCUGGGACUUCUCGGUUUCCCCUUCACUCCACCCCCUCAGACAACUUUCACAAUGAUAGCUGGACCUACACACAGCUCUGAAAGUCUGCCCUUCCCUGGUACCUCCUUUCCCACCAAGUGCCUUUGUGUGCGUG